rnacentral:rRNA from 1 species
AUUGAACGCUGGCGGCAUGCCUUACACAUGCAAGUCGAACGGUAACAGGUCUUCGGAUGCUGACGAGUGGCGAACGGGUGAGUAAUACAUCGGAACGUGCCUAGUAGUGGGGGAUAACUACUCGAAAGAGUGGCUAAUACCGCAUGAGAUCUACGGAUGAAAGCAGGGGAUCGCAAGACCUUGUGCUACUAGAGCGGCCGAUGGCAGAUUAGGGAGUUGGUGGGAUAAAAGCUUACCAAGCCGACGAUCUGUAGCUGGUCUGAGAGGACGAUCAGCCACACUGGGACUGAGACACGGCCCAGACUCCUACGGGAGGCAGCAGUGGGGAAUUUUGGACAAUGGGCGCAAGCCUGAUCCAGCAAUGCCGCGUGCAGGAUGAAGGCCUUCGGGUUGUAAACUGCUUUUGUACGGAACGAAAAGCCCUGGGUUAAUACCCUGGGGUCAUGACGGUACCGUAAGAAUAAGCACCGGCUAACUACGUGCCAGCCGCCGCCGUAAAAC